CGUGUUCAGUUUCCAACUCCAUGAUGAAUUCCCAGAUGUAGGUAGUGUGCUGCACAAAGGGCAAGUUUUUCACUAAGAUCACAAAAGUCUCUGGCCCAAUGAGCGGAGUUUGAUAGUAAUACUUGGGACAAGC
rnacentral:snoRNA from 1 species